GUGUAUUCGUUGUGGAGUUUAAUAGAUUUCUAUGGAUUUUAAAAGUCUGGGUGUAUUCGUUCCAGACUUUUAAAAGUCUGCAGAAAUCUGGGUGUAUUCGUUCAAGACUUUUAAAAGUCCAUAUAAAUCUGGGUGUAUUCGUUUCAGACUUUUUAAAAUCCAUACAAAUCUAGGUGUAUUCGUUAUUCCAUUGACUUCAAAUCCGAAAUGACUUUCAUGGAUUUCAUCCAAAAAAUACACACGACCAAAUCCGGCCAAGAACCACGAGAAUUGAAAUCCAUGGAGUUUUGAGCGAGCGCUGAGUUCCAGCGGCCGCGGCCAAGAAGCCAGCGACCGCUGGAACUCAGCCACCGUUGAGAGUCCAGCCGACGCUGGAUUUGAACAUGCGCUGGGGAUUCUCUUUCUCGAAUAAUCUCUCUCUUGCUUUUAUCUUUUACUUUUCAUGUGUUCAGUUCAUUGUUUUCUCAUUAAGGGACAGUUUGUAUUGGAGACUUUUAUGCUUUGCCUUUGAGCAUUAUUUUUGACAUGCAGCGAUUUCCUCGAUUGUACCUAUCCGAAGGGGAACAAUCAGAUUCAUCCUCACCUAAAGUCUCCCAAUUCAUUAUGGUUGAAGAGGCUUGGUCACCUUUCAAUUUUAGGAUGGAUGGUUACGACAAGAAGGGGGAUGCUACAGAUCAUUCAAGAAAUUUAGUGGACUCCUCGGUCUGUCAUUGGGCUACUUCUGUUGUUUCUGGCUAAUAUGGAGGAGGGCGGCGGCUUUGGCUGGCGCCCCUGCAUGUACUUCGCCAGGGGCUUCUGCAAGAACGGGACCUCUUGCAAGUUCUUGCACGGUGGCGACGGCGACGCGGCGGCGCAGGAGGUGGGGUCUCCGGGAAGGGGUUUGACGAAUUGCUGAGGAUGAAGGCGCUUCAACAGCAGAGGUUUGCGCUCAUGGCGUCUUCUCCGCGGGGGCAGCAGCAUUUUUUCUUACAAUAAAUGCAUGGACUUACAAUAAAACUGAUCUGUGUUUGGAACUAUGCCUGUAAUGUUUUUGUCUUGAAUAUACCAUGUUGCAGCGCUCGCUGGGUUUCCAGCGCUCGCUGGAUUCCCAGCGCUCGCUGGGUUUCCAGCAGUGCUGAGACUCAGCGGGCGUUGGCAUCAUGGAUUUCAAUUCCAGAAUUAUCCCCUAAAUUCUUCGAAAAUCACUGAAAAUCGGGAUGAAAUCCAACCACGAAUUCUUUGAAAA